AACUUUCGACAAUGGAUCUCUUGGCUCUCGCAUCAAUGAAGAACGCAGCGAAAUACGAUAAGUAAUGUGAAUUGCAGAUUUUCAGUGAAUCUUUGAAUCUUUGAACGCACCUUGCGCCCCUUGAUAUUCCGAGGGGCAUGCCUGUUUGAGUGUCAUUAAAUUCUCAACUCUGAUUUGAUUUGUUUCUAAUCAGAGCUUGGACUUGGAGUGUGCUGGCGUCUAGUCAGCUCCUCUCAAAUGCAUCGGCGGAAUCUAACCUUUGGUUUCCGGACGUCAGUGUAAUAAUAAAGUUGCGCCGUCAUUAAACUUCAAAGUCCGCUUAUAAUGGUCUUCGGCCGAACUCUUAUAUCAAAUUUGAUCUCAAAUCAGGUAGGACUACCCGCUGAACUUAAGCAUAUGAAUAAGCGGAGGCU
rnacentral:misc_RNA from 1 species